rnacentral:rRNA from 1 species
CACGGGGGGAGCAAGCGUUGUUCGGAAUCACUGGGCGUAAAGGGCGUGUAGGCGGUCAGGUAAGUGGGAUGUGAAAUGCCCCGGCUCACCCGGGGACCGGCAUCCCAUACUGCUUGGCUUGAGUACGGGAGAGGAUGUGGGAAUUCCUGGUGUAGCGGUGAAAUGCGCAGAUAUCGGGAAGAACACCCGUGGCGAAGGCGGUUCUCUGGGACGGUACUGGACGCUGAGACGCGAAAGCGUGGGGAGCGAACAGG